ensembl:lncRNA
AACGCUUGUGCCCCCUGCGUUGCCACUGGUUCUUUCUUGGGUGUUUGGCCUUUGGUCUUAGUAUUGCUUAGGUGUGGUGUGUGCGUUCCUGGGCGUCGCUGCUUCAUCUUAGCCUUCUUGUCCUUGCGUGCCUGCCAGCCCUGGGAAUGCCAGCCUCUGCUUCCUUUCCCCUGGAUGUUGUGUCCAGCCAUCUGCGCUCCAGACAAAGGUCUGAAUAGUCAAAGCUAUGGUUUUUCCAGUGGUCAGUAUCGAUGUAAGAGUUGGACUAUAAAGAAAGCUGAGCGCCGAAGAACUGAUGCUUUUAAACUGUGGUGCUGGAGAAGACUCUUGAGAGUCCCUUGGACAGCAAGGAGAUCAAACCAGUCAAUCGUAAAGGAAAUCAGUCCUGAAUAUUCAUUGGAAGGACUGAUGCUGAAGCUGAAGCUUCAAUACUUUGGCCACCUGAUGCGAAGUAUUGACUCCUUGGAAAAGACCCUGAUGCUGGGAAAGAUUGAAGGCAGGAGAAGGGGACAACCGAGGAUGAGAUGGUUGGAUGGCAUUACCAACUCGAUGGACAUGAGUUUGAGCAAGCUCUAGGAGUUGGCAAAGGACAGGAAAGCCUGGUGCGUUGCAGUUCAUGGGAUCGCAAAGAGUCAGACAUGACCGGGUGACUAAACUGAACUGAUGCCUUUGUUACUAAAGCAAAAUAUUUUUAUUUACAGACUUACUUUCCACCCCCACCUCAAACAAUUCUAUUCUUGCAAGUUUUUACCUCCAGAGGGAAUCAAGCAAAAAAAAAAUGUUUAUAUUGACCUAUGCAUUGAUUUAAAUGGCUACGUCACAGUUCAGUUGAUGGUAGUGAAAAAACAGAAAGGGGGAAAUAAACCUCCAUCAUAUGAAGCACAUAAUUUGAAGAAAAGAAAUUAUUUCUAUUGAAUUAAACAAUUCAAUUAUCUGUGUGAAUGUAACUUUCCUUAUUAUUAACAGAACCCAGAAUGAAAUACUGGGGACAUAUGUUAUAUGCACAAAGCUUGGAAACCAGAAGUGCUUGGGCAACCAGGAUAAGAAAUGAUGUUUUUCAGCUGAGCCUUUGUUGUUGGAUAUCAGCUCGUGGAGGUGACAGGUCCAUUAAUCAAGGGACACUUACAUGCAGCAAGCUGAAAAGACAGGCUUGAAUUGCUGAGGAUUCAUUACAGGAAAAAUAACACUUAUAAAAACCUCUAAGCAGAGCAUCCUUAUCAACGAAGAAGAGGCAACGACUGUGACAUCUAUGGGUAUACGAUUUCCAAAUGGAAUUUCAGGAUGGAAAAUAAUGGGGAGGGGGGAGAAUGAGAAAUAUUUACAUUUCAAUGGAUGCCAAUUCAGAAGGGGUGUGUGUGUUUACUCAUUCAGUCCUGUCCGACUCUUUGUGACCCCAUGGACUGUAGCCCGCCAGGCUUCUCUGUCUAUAGGGAUUUUUCAGGCAAGGUUACUGGAGUGGAGCCAUGCCCUCUUUCAGGGGAUCUUCCCAACCCAGGGAUUGACUCCAGGUUUCCUGUAUUGCAGGCGGAUUCUUCACCAACUGAGUCACCAGGGAAGCCCUAUUCAGGAAGGUAGUUGUUUGCAAUCACCUAAUAUGCUUUAAAUCACCAUGAAAUGAAUCGCAGGUGUUUUCCUUGUUUGGCUUUGACUGUGGAGCUGAUGACUUUUCACUGGGCUAACGGGCCUUCUCCCCAAGUGUUCUGGCUACUUAUUUAAGCAUUGUGUGUGUGUGCACUCAGUUGCUCAGUUGAGUUCAACUCUUAGCGACCCCAUGGAUUAUAGUCUGCCAGAUUCCUCUGUCCAUGGGCUUCUCCAGGCAAGAAUACUGGAGUGGGUCGUUAUUUCCUUCUCCUGGGGAUUUUCCCAACCCAGGGAUUGAACCCCCACCCCCUAUCUCCUGCAUUGGCAGGUGGAUUCUUUACCACUGAGCCACCAGGGAAGCAUUUAAGCAUUAUUAGCAUUUUGUUUCUGGCAAGUUUGUUUUUUAACUCUGUAUGUUUGAAACUCUCUUGGACUUUGUCAAAUAAAUUGAGCCUAUCCAAACAAAACAUAUCCUCCUUUAUGUAACUAUGUUAGGCAUAAACGAGGUACAUCUUUAAGCUUACAGGUUAAGGCAUAUAUGUAAUGGCAGAUAAAAUAUAGAAGUCAGGCACAGACCUGCCUCAUAAGUCCAUCAUCCAUAACUCACUACAUUCUUUCAUGUUGUUAUUAAUAAUACCCAGAAUCAUACCUUUCUUCAAAGCUGUCUCCAAGACUUGGAUUCUGAUUCUAGUCAUAAAAAGACUGCCCGACUUUACUUCUGUAGCUUUUAUCGUUUCGAACACUUCUAGAUUAUAAAUUUUUCAAGGAAGCAGUAGUCUGCAGGUGAUACAUACUGGCAGUUCCAGUUUAACCUCCAUCUCCAUGGGCACAUAUAUUCUUGUCAGUACAAGUGGCCUUUGUACAGCACAGAGAACUCUGCUCAAUGUUAUGUGGCAGCCUGGAUGGGAGGGGAGUUUGAGGGAGAAUGGAUACAUGUAUAUGUAUGGCUGAGUCCCUUUGUGGUCCACCUGAAUCUAUCACAGCAUUGUUAACCCGCUAUACUCCAAUAUAAAAUAAAAAGUUAAAAACAAAUCCAAGCAGCCUGAAUUUUCGUUUGGAAAAUAUAGUCAGUGCAGUGCAAUGGCUCAGUUUCAGUGUCAUACUAUAUGCAUUUCUGGGGUUACACAAAAAUAAUUCCUGCAUGUGUAUUGUAUUCAUCAACAG